rnacentral:rRNA from 1 species
AUUGAACGCUGGCGGCAUGCUUUACACAUGCAAGUCGAACGGUAACAGGCCUUCGGGUGUUGACGAGUGGCGAACGGGUGAGUAAUGCAUCGGAACGUACCCAGAGGUGGGGGAUAACGCAGCGAAAGCUGUGCUAAUACCGCAUGUGAUCUGAGGAUGAAAGCGGGGGACCGAGCAGCAAUGUUUGGCCUCGCGCCUUUGGAGCGGCCGAUGUCGGAUUAGCUAGUUGGUGGGGUAAAGGCCUACCAAGGCGACGAUCCGUAGCUGGUCUGAGAGGACGACCAGCCACACUGGGACUGAGACACGGCCCAGACUCCUACGGGAGGCAGCAGUGGGGAAUUUUGGACAAUGGGCGCAAGCCUGAUCCAGCAAUGCCGCGUGCGGGAAGAAGGCCUUCGGGUUGUAAACCGCUUUUGGCAGGAACGAAACGGUGUCCGCUAAUACCGGGCGCUAAUGACGGUACCUGCAGAAUAAGCACCGGCUAACUACGUG